CCUACGGGAGGCAGCAGUGAGGAAUAUUGGUCAAUGGCCGGAAGGCUGAACCAGCCAAGCCGCGUGAAGGACGAAGGUGCCAAGCAUUGUAAACUUCUUUUGUCAAGGGACAAAAUCAGGCUCGAGAGCCUGACCGAGGGUACUUGAAGAAAAAGCAUCGGCUAACUCCGUGCCAGCCGCCGCGGUAAUCCGGGGGAUGCGAGCGUUAUCCGGAUUUAUGGGGUUUAAAGGGUGCGUAGGCGGGCUGUUAAGUCAGCGGUAAAAGCCCGGGGCUCAACCCCGGCGAGCCGUUGAAACUGGCUGUCUGGAGAUGUCGAGAGGUAGGAGGAAUGCGCGGUGAAGCGGUGAAAGGCUAA
rnacentral:rRNA from 1 species